UCCUGAUGUUAGCGGCGGACGGGUGAGUAACACGUGGGUAACCUGCCUGUAAGACUGGGAUAACUCCGGGAAACCGGGGCUAAUACCGGAUGGUUGUUUGAACCGCAUGGUUCAAACAUAAAAGGUGGCUUCGGCUACCACUUACAGAUGGACCCGCGGCGCAUUAGCUAGUUGGUGAGGUAACGGCUCACCAAGGCAACGAUGCGUAGCCGACCUGAGAGGGUGAUCGGCCACACUGGGACUGAGACACGGCCCAGACUCCUACGGGAGGCAGC
rnacentral:rRNA from 1 species